GUACCAGAGGAGUGUCCCCUUCAACAGUACAUAACUAUCCAUUAACCAGAUAUUCUCCAAAUCAACAAGCCAAAUUGGCCUUUCCAGUACCUUUGCUGAGACACAAGGGAAGACUUUCCAUCACUCUACCUUCUAAAAAUGGAGAUAUGACUGAUUAAUUGAAUUUUUUCCUACCUUCAUGUACAGAUACUGAAGCCUAAACUUGCAAACAAAGCUCAGAAAUUGUUCAUCCCGACCUUACUAUGCACACUGAAAAUGACAAUGAAGAAAGGAAGUUGAGAACUUAGGUUUCCAGUCUUUUCAAUUCUCCUCCAAAUGUUUUGGAGAAGACAUCUAUUGUCAAGGCGAGGUACAACAGGCCCCAUCAGACAAAGAGGGCUGCAAAAUUUCUACUUUUAAAGGAUUCACUAGAAGCAGGGAAGUCCAGAUGCUUCUGACAGGCUCUGAGCUCCUGAUUCCAGGUGUGGAAGGUUCAGAUCAAUUCUAUCUCUUCAACUUACCUACUCGACACCUACCAAGGACUCAAUGACAUUCCCCAGGGUCGCCAUAUUUCUUCCUUUUUUUUAUACCAAGACAGAAGGACAUCCUCAUUCUCAACAUCUUUGAGCUUUACAUUCUCUUUGUUCUCAAUCCCAAAUUGAUGUUUCCUCUGAACUAGAGGCCAAUUAGUAAACCCUAUAUUAUACUGAAUGAAUAUACAAGAGGCAUUUGCAGACACGACAACACUUGUGACAACACAGGAGAAAAUAGGGCUCUCCAGGAUACAAGAGAUUUUUCAUGGAAGGCCUAAUGAUGAUAUCACUGAGAACCGCCAUGGCCUACCUACAAACAGCUUUCUUUACACUGACCAGAUGUGAGAGUGCCUUUUCCAGGUAUGUCUCCUGUGACACAGGAAAAACCUUUAUGUACUCUAUCUCUUGAAAGCUAGAGACUUCUCUUCGCUUCAACAGUGUUUACAUGCUCUGAAUGGAGAAAGUUAUUCAGGGUCCUGGCAUGGGUAGAAAUGAUCUAGGAACGUGGAGAAGAGAAGAUUCUUCUGGAUAAUAUUUUUAUUCCCAGGUCCAAACCUGUGACAUACCGUUCAAUUUUCUAGGUUUUCUCUCUCUUGUAAUGGCCAGUAUUUUCCUUUCAGACCUUUAGAUGAAGGAAUAUUGUAUUUCUGUUUUAUUGUACAUUCUUUGAUAGGUGACUUUAUAAAUAUUCCUGAAUAUGUACUCAAAAAUUAUGUUUCGAAUUCUAUUUUCUGCUAUGUUUUUGGCAACAAAUGGGCCCCAGCUAUAGAGAGAGUAUAACAGUGUAAAUACUGUGUACCUACUUCAAAUGAUAAACUCCCAAAUCCUUAUUUUAUCCAAAGAUUACCAGACAUCAAUAAAGCAAAGGAUUA